rnacentral:rRNA from 1 species
UCGUGAAAAAAUAAAUGGGGAGUCGGACCUGCCCAGUGAAUUUUUUUUAACGGCCGCGGUACUCUGACCGUGCAAAGGUAGCAUAAUCAUUUGCCUUAUAAUUAAAGGCUAGUAUGAAUGGUUUGACAAGAGUGUAGCUGUCUCUUUAUGAUUUUAUAAAAUUUUAUAUUUAGGUGAAGAAGCCUAGAUAUAAUUAAAAGACAAGAAGACCCUAUCGAGCUUAAAAGAAAUUAAUAGAUUAUUUAAUAAUAUUACUAAAAAUUUUUUUCUGUUAAAGAUUUUGGUUGGGGCGACUAAGGAACAAAAAAAGCUUCCUUGAAAAUAAAUACCUUACAAGUAAUGAUCCAGAAAUUUUGAUUAAAGAAAUUAGUUACCGUAGGGAUAACAGCAUUAUCUUUUUUAAGAGCUCCUAUCGAAAAAAAGGUUUGUGACCUCGAUGUUGGAUCAGAAUAUCCUAAAGAUGCAGCAGUCUUUAAGGGUUGGUCUGUUCGACCAUUAAAAUUCUA